UACGGAGGGUGCAAGCGUUAUCCGGAUUCACUGGGUUUAAAGGGUGCGUAGGAGGGCAGGUAAGUCAGUGGUGAAAUCCCCCGAGCUUAACUUGGGAACUGCCGUUGAUACUAUCUGUCUUGAAUAUCGUGGAGGUGAGCGGAAUAUGUCAUGUAGCGGUGAAAUGCUUAGAUAUGACAUAGAACACCAAUUGCGAAGGCAGCUCGCUACACGAAUAUUGACUCUGAGGCACGAAAGCGUGGGGGAUCAAAACAGG
rnacentral:rRNA from 1 species